rfam:Aedes albopictus isolate Foshan contig115093, whole genome shotgun sequence.
UAUUCUAUGGCGAAGUUGGUAAACGUAUCCUGUCUGGCAAAUUGACGGAGAUGUGGGUUCAAAUCCCACCAGAACAA